UUAACACAUGCAAGUCGAGCGAGAAAGUAUCUUCGGAUAUGAGUAGAGCGGCGGACGGGUGAGUAACGCGUAGGAAUCUACCUAGUAGAAGGGGAUAGCCCGGGGAAACUCGGAUUAAUACCGUAUACCUCCUAAGGGAGAAAGAGGGCCUCUCUUGAAGCUCUCGCUACUAGAUGAGCCUGCGUAAGAUUAGCUUGUUGGUAAGGUAAUGGCUUACCAAGGCUACGAUCUUUAGCUGGUCUGAGAGGACGAUCAGCCACAUUGGGACUGAGACACGGCCCAGACUCCUACGGGAGGCAGCAGUGGGGAAUAUUGGACAAUGGGCGCAAGCCUGAUCCAGCCAUACCGCGUGUGUGAAGAAGGCCUUCGGGUUGUAAAGCACUUUAAGCAGGGAGAAAAAGUAAUAAGUUAAUACCUUAUUGCCAUGAUGUUACCUGCAGAAUAAGCACCGGCUAAUUCCGUGCCAGCAGCCGCGGUAAUACGGAAGGUGCAAGCGUUAAUCGGAAUUACUGGGCGUAAAGCGCGCGUAGGUGGUUUGUUAAGUUGGAUGUGAAAGCCCUGGGCUCAACCUAGGAACUGCAUCCAAAACUAACUCACUAGAGUACGAUAGAGGGAGGUAGAAUUCAUAGUGUAGCGGUGGAAUGCGUAGAUAUUAUGAAGAAUACCAGUGGCGAAGGCGGCCUCCUGGAUCUGUACUGACACUAAGGUGCGAAAGCGUGGGUAGCGAACAGGAUUAGAUACCCUGGUAGUCCACGCCGUAAACGAUGACAACUAGCUGUUGGGAGACAAUGUCUUUCAGUGGCGCAGCUAACGUUUUAAGUUGUCCGCCUGGGG
rnacentral:rRNA from 1 species